CUAAGAAUCUUGCGCAAUGGGCGAAAGCCUGACGCAGCAAUUCCGCGUGGAGGAUGAAGGCUCUAGGGUCGUAAACUCCUUUUGCGAGGGAAGAAGAUCUGACGGUACCUCGCGAAUAAGACACGGCUAACUACGUGCCAGCAGCCGCGGUAAUACGUAGGUGUCGAGCGUUGUCCGGAUUUAUUGGGCGUAAAGAGCCCGCAGGCGGCUUGUCUAGUCCGAGGUGAAAUCUCCCGGCUCAACUGGGAGGGUGCCUCGGAAACUGGCAGGCUUGAGGCAGGGAGAGGGAUGUGGAAUUCCAGGUGUAGUGGUGAAAUGCGUAGAUAUCUGGAAGAACACCAGUUGCGAAGGCGGUCUCUUGGUCCGACACUGACGCUGAGGCGCGAAAGCGUGGGGAGCAAACA
rnacentral:rRNA from 1 species